CAGUAGCCGCGGUAAUACGAAGGGUGCAAGCGUUAAUCGGAAUUACUGGGCGUAAAGCGCACGCAGGCGGUUUGUUAAGUCAGAUGUGAAAUCCCCGAGCUUAACUUGGGAACUGCAUUUGAAACUGGCAAGCUAGAGUCUUGUAGAGGGGGGUAGAAUUCCAGGUGUAGCGGUGAAAUGCGUAGAGAUCUGGAGGAAUACCGGUGGCGAAGGCGGCCCCCUGGACAAAGACUGACGCUCAGGUGCGAAAGCGUGGGGAGCAAACAGGAUUAGAGACCCGGGUAGUCCCUGUCUCUUAUAA
rnacentral:rRNA from 1 species